UACGGGGGGGGCAAGCGUUGUUCGGAAUUACUGGGCGUAAAGGGCUCGUAGGCGGCCAACUAAGUCAGACGUGAAAUCCCUCGGCUUAACCGGGGAACUGCAUCUGAUACUGGAUGGCUUGAGAUUGGGAGAGGGAUGCGGAAUUCCAGGUGUAGCGGUGAAAUGCGUAGAUAUCUGGAGGAACACCGGUGGCGAAGGCGACAUCCUGGACCAACACUGACGCUGAGGAGCGAAAGCCAGGGGAGCAAACGGG
rnacentral:rRNA from 1 species